rnacentral:rRNA from 1 species
GACGAACGCUGGCGGCGUGCUUAACACAUGCCAGUCGAACGGAAAGGCCCUGCUUUUGUGGGGUGCUCGAGUGGCGAACGGGUGAGUAACACGUGAGUAACCUGCCCUUGACUUUGGGAUAACUUCAGGAAACUGGGGCUAAUACCGGAUAGGAGCUCCUGCUGCAUGGUGGGGGUUGGAAAGUUUCGGCGGUUGGGGAUGGACUCGCGGCUUAUCAGCUUGUUGGUGGGGUAGUGGCUUAUCAAGGCUUUGACGGGUAGCCGGCCUGAGAGGGUGACCGGCCACAUUGGGACUGAGAUACGGCCCAGACUCCUACGGGAGGCAGCAGUGGGGAAUAUUGCACAAUGGGCGGAAGCCUGAUGCAGCAACGCCGCGUGCGGGAUGACGGCCUUCGGGUUGUAAACCGCUUUCGCCUGUGACGAAGCGUGAGUGACGGUAAUGGGUAAAGAAGCACCGGCUAACUACGUG